CCACAAGAGUGAUAUGAAAUGUCUUCUGUGCUUCGUAUACUUUGCGGUCGUCAAAAUUGGCCAAGGAAUAAAUAAGUUUGGAAUUUGAAUCAUGUGCCGUCUGAUUUGCAUAUUGCUGCUACAAAAGAAACAAUGGGAAUGAUAUGAUAUAAGAUUUGAGUUCAAUAAACGAAUUAUUUGUCUAUA